rnacentral:rRNA from 1 species
AACGAACGCUGGCGGCAGGCUUAACACAUGCAAGUCGAACGAACGUAGCAAUACGUUAGUGGCGCACGGGUGAGUAACGCGUGGAUAUCUGCCUUUUGGUUCGGGAUAACCUUGGGAAACUAGGGCUAAUACCGAAUGGUUCCUACGGGAUAAAGAUUUAUCGCCAAAAGAUGAGUCCGCGUCUGUUUAGCUAGUUGGUGUGGUAACGGCGCACCAAGGCGACGAUCGGUAGCUGGUCUGAGAGGACGAUCAGCCACACUGGGACUGAGACACGGCCCAGACUCCUACGUGAGGCAGCAGUGGGGAAUAUUGGACAAUGGGGGCAACCCUGAUCCAGCCAUGCCGCGUGAGUGAUGAAGGCCUUCGGGUUGUAAAGCUCUUUUGGCGGGGACGAUGAUGACGGUACCCGCAGAAUAAGCCCCGGCUAACUUCGUGCCAGCCGCCGCCGUAACAC